rnacentral:pre_miRNA from 1 species
UUCAUAUCACUCUGUCCCAAAAUUCUUGUCUUAGAUUUGUCUAGAUACGAAUGUAUCUAAUACUAAAAUGUGACUUGAUACGUCCGUAUUUAGACAAAUCUAAGACAAGAAUUUUGGGACGGAGGGAGUACUUU